UACAGAGGUCUCGAGCGUUAGGCGGAAUCACUGGGCUUAAAGCGUGUGUAGGUGGAUGCCUAAGUACCUUGUGAAAUCCCACGGCUUAACUGUGGAACUGCUUGGUAUACUGCCAGUCUUGAGCCACUUAGGGGCUACCGGAACAAAUGGUGGAGCGGUGAAAUGCGUAGAUAUCAUUUGGAACGCCAAUGGUGAAAACAGGUAGCUGGGAGUGUGCUGACGCUGAGACACGAAAGCCAGGGGAGCAAACGGG
rnacentral:rRNA from 1 species